AACAUAGCAUACAAAUUUUUAAAUGUAAAUUCUGCUCAGUGAUCGUCAACAGCCGCGGUAUCCUAACCGUGCUAAGGUAGCAUAAUCAUUUGUCUAUUAAUUAUAGAAUAGAAUGAAUGAACAAACUAAUGUUAAAUUAUAUAUAAAUCUAUUAAACUUAAACUUAAAGUCAAAAUUCUUUAUCUUACAGAAAGACAAAAAGACCCUGAAAACUUUAAUAUUUAUUAAUUGUUGGGGCAACUUCUGACCAACCAUUAGCGUCACUAUACUCAUGUUAAUUUGAUUACUCUUUCAGUUACUUCAGGGAUAACAGGCUAAUCUUUGUUAAUAUAAAUUUAAUAACUGUUUGGCACCUCGAUGUUGGCUUAUUUAUCAUAUAGUUAAAACUACUACUACGAUAGUUUGUUCACCUAUUAAAGUAUUACAUGAGCUGAGUU
rnacentral:rRNA from 1 species